rnacentral:rRNA from 1 species
GAUGAACGCUGGCGGCGUGCCUAAUACAUGCAAGUCGAGCGAACGGACGAGAAGCUUGCUUCUCUGAUGUUAGCGGCGGACGGGUGAGUAACACGUGGAUAACCUACCUAUAAGACUGGGAUAACUUCGGGAAACCGGAGCUAAUACCGGAUAAUAUUUUGAACCGCAUGGUUCAAAAGUGAAAGACGGUCUUGCUGUCACUUAUAGAUGGAUCCGCGCUGCAUUAACUAGUUGGUAAGGUAACGGCUUACCAAGGCAACGAUGCAUAGCCGACCUGAGAGGGUGAUCGGCCACACUGGAACUGAGACGCGGUCCAGACUCCUACGGGAGGCAGCAGUAGGGAAUCUUCCGCAAUGGGCGAAAGCCUUACGGAGCAACGCCGCGUGAGUGAUGAAGGUCUUCGGAUCGUAAAACUCUGUUAUUAGGGAAGAACAUAUGUGUAAGUAACUGUGCACAGCUUGACGGUACCUAAUCAGAAAGCCACGGCUAACUACGUG